ensembl:miRNA
ACCCCUUUAGAGGAUGACUGAUUUCUUUUGGUGUUCAGAGUCAAUACUAUUUUCUAGCACCAUUUGAAAUCGGUUAUAGUGACUGGGGAAUUGCAU